AUUGAACGCUGGCAGCAUGCCCUACACAUGCAAGUCGAACGGUAACAGGUCUUCGGAUGCUGACGAGUGGCGAACGGGUGAGUAAUACAUCGGAACGUGCCUAGUAGUGGGGGAUAACUACUCGAAAGAGUGGCUAAUACCGCAUGAGAUCUACGGAUGAAAGCAGGGGAUCGCAAGACCUUGUGCUACUAGAGCGGCCGAUGGCAGAUUAGGUAGUUGGUGGGAUAAAAGCUUACCAAGCCGACGAUCUGUAGCUGGUCUGAGAGGACGAUCAGCCACACUGGGACUGAGACACGGCCCAGACUCCUACGGGAGGCAGCAGUGGGGAAUUUUGGACAAUGGGCGAAAGCCUGAUCCAGCAAUGCCGCGUGCAGGAUGAAGGCUUUCGGGUUGUAAACUGCUUUUGUACGGAACGAAAAGCCCCGGGUUAAUACCCUGGGGUCAUGACGGUACCGUAAGAAUAAGCACCGGCUAACUACGUGCCAGCCGCCGCGGUAA
rnacentral:rRNA from 1 species